rnacentral:rRNA from 1 species
GACGAACGCUGGCGGCGCGCUUAACACAUGCAAGUCGAACGGAAAGGCCUGCUUUCCCUUGUGGAUUGCGGGUACUCGAGUGGCGAACGGGUGAGUAACACGUGAGUGAUCUGCCCCCAACUUGGGUAUAAGCCUGGGAAACUGGGUCUAAUUCCCGAUAGGACUGCAGGGUGGUGCCUGUGGUGGAAAACGAUUUUCUAGUGGUUGGGGAUGAGCUCGCGGCCUAUCAGCUUGUUGGUGGGGUAAUGGCCUACCAAGGCGGCGACGGGUAGCCGGCCUGAGAGGGUGGACGGCCACAUUGGGACUGAGAUACGGCCCAGACUCCUACGGGAGGCAGCAGUGGGGAAUAUUGCACAAUGGGCGGAAGUCUGAUGCAGCGACGCCGCGUGGGGGAUGACGGCCUUCGGGUUGUAAACUCCUUUCGACCGCGAGGAAGCCACCUGGUUGGAAGGGUGGUGACGGUAGUGGUAGAAGAAGCACCGGCUAACUACGU